UGGGGGAUAUUGCACAAUGGGCGAAAGCCUGAUGCAGCGACGCCGCGUGGGGGAUGAAGGCCUUCGGGUUGUAAACUUCUUUUGCUCUGAACAAGGCAUGCUAAUGGGUGUGUUGAGUGUAGGGGUUGAUUAGCGCCGGCUAACUACGUGCCAGCAGCCGCGGUAAUACGUAGGGCGCGAGCGUUGUCCGGAAUUAUUGGGCGUAAAGGGCUUGUAGGUGGCUGGUUGCGUCUGUCGUGAAAGCUCAUGGCUUAACUGUGGGUUUGCGGUGGGUACGGGCUGGCUUGAGUGCAGUAGGGGAGGCUGGAAUUCCUGGUGUAGCGGUGGAAUGCGCAGAUAUCAGGAGGAAUACCGGUGGCGAAGGCCGGUCUCUGGGCUGUUACUGACACUGAGGAGCGAAAGCAUGGGGAGCGAACAGG
rnacentral:rRNA from 1 species